AUGUACCCCAGUACACUUCGGUUCCUCAGCGCCGUCCGCGCCCACCUGACGGCUGCUCGCUAUGUUUUGUUAGCC
rnacentral:sRNA from 1 species